AAUUUUUUCUACUUUUACGAGCUUUCUCUAAAUCCCUAAUUUUCAAAUUUCUUGGAGAUUUGGGAUGAGAAUUUAAGAGAAGAAAAUUCAAUGAGGUUUUUAGUUGCAUUUAUUUUGUGAAUUCAAGGUUGAUAUUACAGUGUUUUAAAGCAUGGAGUUCAACUCAUGAUAACCUUAAAGUUCCUGAUGCUAGAUGUAAUUAUCCAUAUAAUUUAUUAUAUCCAUUUUUCGUGUUUUGACAUAUGUGUGUGUCCUGAUAUUGCAACUGUGACUCAACUAAUAGCGAGGUAUUUAAGCUUGUAGGAUCUUCCAAGUUCCAAUAUGAUUGGGUUAGUUGUUUCACUCCUAUAUCCUAAUGAACUUUAAGACUAAAAAGGCAUGAUCAACUAUACUGAAUCCUUUGUGCUAUAUAUUAAAUAAAUUAUGCCUUAUUGAAUCAAAUUUUGGACAUUAUGCUAGUAAUCCAUGUACUCUUCUCUUUUAGCCUUGCAUAAUCUAGCAACAUAUCAGUAACUUGUUUCAUAUAAAAUGGAAAUUAUCUUUAGAUUUAAAAAGAGAAAACCAUCACAAGGCAAACUCAGAAUCUUAUCUAUGAUAUCUUUUAUAGCCCAUGCAUAGCCCCAUGUAUAAUUUUAUGCCCCUUCUUCCCCUCUUCUUGUCAUUUCAUUUGGUCUUGACAUCAUACUUGUAUACACUAGCAUAUGAAUUUAAAAGAAUUGGCAAUAUAUCAAUUUGUUAAGGUAAACCAAAGUGCAGUAUACUGAGAUGACUUAAAAUUUCAUUGUGUGGUUCACCUAUUUCUGCUUAAUCAUGUUAAUCCAUAAAUCUUACGGGGUGAACUACAGAG
rnacentral:misc_RNA from 1 species